AGCUGAACUGGGUCUCUCAUUUACUGGCUGAUGUUUAUUUCUCCCUAGUUGCUGAAACUGAGCUCUCUCCAUUUCCUUUCCUUCCUCCCAGCUUGCAGGAGCCUGGAAUGUAUUUUGUCAGGCAUGUUGUAUGAGAGUAGUCCUUACAAGACACUUGGAAGCAUGUAACCUGUAGCUGCUUCUUCUCUCCUAUAUCAUUAGGACUGAAGGCUCUCCCUGAUCUCACUCUUUGUAAGAAAGUUAGCACCCUUAAAACCAACAUUCAAGCUAAAAUUUGAACUUUGCUAUCUUGAAAGCUAAAAACUGAGCGUGAACGCUUCAACAGAAUUGUUCUAUUUCACGAUAAGAGGAAUUAUUCUCUUGUGCUUUGAAGAUGUAGUAAUGAAUUCUGAAAUGCAACAAGACACAAAUGAGAUACUAUGAAAGUUUAACUUGGUUGUUCCUGCAAAAUAUCUACCAGGAGAGGCAUGGAAUCUCAACACUUAUACUUCUGAUCCUAGCUGGUUGACCCCAAGCCACCUGCAGGGGAAAAUGAAGGGAAUGAUGAAGAGAAAUGUUGCAGCUGCUGGAGGAAAAAGCUAGCUCCUGCCAACAACAUAGACUAGUAUCAGUCAGAACCAUUCCAGAUGUGGCACGGUGAUCCAGAGUUGCUGACCACAAAAAGGGCAGAGGCCUACCCUGUGUUGUAUGAGAUGCUGGUAGAAGUGAGAGCAGGGAGCUUCUCCUUCCAUGCUCCGCACAUCCAUGUGGAUGUGGAGCAGGAUAUACUCCUAAUACCGUGAACUCUGGAAGAAGAGUCCAGCUAAUAUGCCUGUAACCUCACCACUGCCUCGAGAGUGGCAAUCAAUCUCAUUUGAGGCAUGGACUAGCUCCUGGCCUCCAGCCUUCCUGUGAGCAUGCUGCAGUCAGUAGUAGCAGCAGAGGGUGGCACCAAGUUGCAUGUUCAGGGUCAUCCAGCACUGCGUUUUUCAGGGUGGAAGCACAGUACAAUGAAUUUUGCCUUGCAGUUUGAAGUCAUGACGACAUCACGAUACCUUAUCUGCUGAACUCUCAAAAGUUCAGAUAAGGAAACUGAAGCAGUGAGAGUAAAUGACUUCUCCAGAGUGACACAAAGCAUCUAUGGCAGAGCAGGAAAUGGAAGGUAUGCCCCCCUCCUGCCCUUUUGUUUGAAACAGAAGCCCAUAUUUCCUCCCAUCCUCAGGAGUGUGGUACCUCUGAGAGGAAGGUGUGGGUUUUUUUUUUAAUUUAAUGGUCCAAGAUGGAUAAGCUCUUAAAUUAGAGACCUCUGGGGAGCACUUAGAUGGGACAGGGAGCUAGCUGUGUUGGUGCUUUAGAAGGAGUGAUGGAGACUCUUCAUUUUAUCUGGGUUGUCCCAAAUUACCAGCCACUUGUCUUGGAGUGAAGACCAUCCUACCGUGUUGGAGAGACAGGAAUCUAUACCAGGAUACUAAAACAGUAUCUCAGUAUCUUUAUCAGGCACUUGUGUAUCUAAGAAAACCAGUGUUAAAAGGCACAAUUAAGGGGACUAAUGCAUGUGGUUAAUUAGCCAUAGAAAUUAUACCCUGAGACCUCAAUGCAAUAAGUCCUGGAUACUUUAACCAACAGAAGAG